rnacentral:rRNA from 1 species
CCUACGGGUGGCUGCAGUGAGGAAUAUUGGUCAAUGGCCGGGAGGCUGAACCAGCCAAGUCGCGUGAGGGAAGACGGCCCUACGGGUUGUAAACCUCUUUUGUCAGGGAGCAAGGUGCAGGUCGGGACCUGCUGUGAGAGUACCUGAAGAAAAAGCAUCGGCUAACUCCGUGCCAGCAGCCGCGGUAAUACGGAGGAUGCGAGCGUUAUCCGGAUUUAUUGGGUUUAAAGGGUGCGCAGGCGGAGGCACAAGUCAGCGGUAAAAUCGCGGGGCUCAACCCCGCUCCGCCGUUGAAACUGUGUCCCUUGAGUGCGCGAAGGGUAGGCGGAAUGCGUGGUGUAGCGGUGAAAUGCGUAGAUAUUAGGAGGAACACCAGUGGCGAAGGUGGCCUACUGGACGGUGACUGACGCUGAGGCUCGAAAGCGUGGGGAGCAAACAGGAUUAGAUACCCCUGUAGUC